rnacentral:tRNA from 1 species
GGCCCCGUGGCUCAACUGGAUAGAGCAGCCCCUUCCUAAGGAGCAGGUUAUUGGCCCGAAUCCAAUCGGGAUCCCCA